ensembl:lncRNA
AGCCAAGUAGCCUUACAAGUUGCCACCAUUAUGAAUUAGUAACAUUUUUUUCUUCCUCUUCCAAGUAGUGACAGCUUCUGUGUCUGAAACACUGUCUUAUCAGUGAUAUCUUGGAUAUAAAUAUCCCUUCUCUGUUCUCCCUGUCUCUGGAUUGGGAGCAGGUUUCCUGCCCACUUUGUAUUCUGUGUUAAGGCCUUUUAUUUUGAGAAUAGUUUAUAUUUGUGCUACAAAGAGAAUUAGCGAACAAAUGGCUUUAGUCAUUCAUUCACUCAUAAACCUAUUCAUAAUGUUUCAUUUACUCAUUAAAUUUUUAAAAUAAAUUUAGUACCUGGUCCAUAUUUGGAAUUCAGUUAACUUUUGUGGAAUAAGUGAAUGAAUGGGUGGGGUCCUAGUUGACCAACCUUUGUCUUAGUAGAUUAAGAUUCAUCUACUUAACAGGCAGGAACAAGACAAGAGUUUCAUGAAGAGCCUCAUGAAGCUAUAUAAGUCUGUGAUGGAGAACUGAUGCUAGCAGUGUCAGGAAUAUCACAAAGGGUACCAGUCCAAUGGGGCACAGGGUUACUAUAGUUCUGACAUGAUCCUGCACUUCUCAAGUGUGGAAUUAUGCUUCUAACAAAGCCAAGGACUACAGGAAGAUAUCUGAUGAACUUUAACGUUCCUUUGGGCCUUUUUUAUGAUCAUUUUGAAGAUGCUUCAUUACUGCUACAUAACAUUAAGUAUCAUUAUUGAUUGGUCUGUGCUAUUACCUUACUUGCUAUUAAAUAUUGUAAAUAUCACCCCUGCCACCAUGAGAUCAGCUUUCAGUUCAGAUACCAUUUGGAAAUGGCUCUUCCCAUGAAGAGUUUAUAAUGAUCCUCCGUUCCUCCCAACAUGAUGGAGAGAAAGGCACAAGUGCCCAGUUCAGUGAGAAGUGUUGCUCAGUUGAAAAACAGGCAGGUGUCAUUUCCAGGGCAAUAAAUAUAUAGGUAGCAGUGGUUUUACAAGAUGAAAAUUCCUAUAGACAUCUAUUGCUAAAUGUUGUUCUUGUAUAUGUUUUGGGGAACUGUAUAAGCUGAGAUUGAGAAGUGAGGAUCCAGACACAGAGAAGGGAUCAAUUCCCAAAGAGAAAAGAACAGCAUGGAAAACAGAAACCAGAUGAAGAGGAAUUCAGGAACUAUGCUGAGGCAUGGAAUGUUCUUCUGGGCUACUAUUUCCUUCAAUCAAGUUAAUUUUCAUGCAUUCUUACAACCACGUGGACUCUGAUAUCUACCAGAACACCUGAGAAGACCCUGUCUCCUGGUUUUCUUGCUUUCACCAGCCUUACAAGUAUUUACAGCAUAAAAUAUCUAUGGUCAGUGAAGAGGUGGAAGAGGAAUCUCCAGGCAUCCCAAGCAACAUGAAUAGAGGGAGUUGAUUUGCAGACGCCUACAUUCUCUGCCCUUCUGAAGAGAAAUGAGUGUGCUUACCUCACAAGGUCCAUAUAGCUGCCAAGCAGAGCCAAGGAAACAAUCAACCGAGAGGAAGAUCAGCCUUGAGCUAACUACUGCCAGUCCUCCUCUUUUUGCUGAGGAAGACUGGCCCUGAGCUAACAUCUGUGCCCAUCUUCGUCUGCUUUAUAUGUGGGAAGCCUACCACAGCAUGGCUUUUGCCAAGCGGUGCCAUGUCUGCACCCGGGAUCUGAACCUGCGAACCCCAGGCUGCCAAGAAGCAGAACAUGCAAACUUAACUGCUGUGCCAUGGGGCCGGCCCCGAUGUGCUCCAUUUUUAAGUUGUAAAAUACAAAUAUUAUACAUACUGGGAAUAUAAUAGCUUAAUGGAUUUUCUUAGGAAUAUAGUUUCAUGAAGUGCAUGAAUGGUGUGUAUUGAAUCAGCCUGUCUAGAUAUGGAGACCAGGAAAGCUGAAUCAGCUUCAUUCUAAACCAUCAACAUCUGUGACCUUGGAACAAAUCAAUAGAGUCUAUUCAGCUUGUCUUUGGGAAAUGGAGUUAAUUCAACUUCUAAUUCAAGUCAAUUAAUAUCUAUGGGUCCAUCACGUUGUUCCUGGCUCCAAGGAUACAACAUAUGGUUAGUGUUCUCGUCCUCCAGCAGCCCUCCAUCUAGCUGGGAGACAGAUUUGUACACAUUGAACCAAAGCACAAGUUCAGGCUGUGGCCAUCGCACAAACAAAGCAUUACAGGGAAACAGAUAAUGACUGAAGGUUGAAGGAAGCUGGGGGAGGGGAAAGCUUCACAGAGAAGGGGAAAUUUAAGUUAGACAUUUAAGUAAAAGUGCCUUGUUCCUUCAUUCUUACAAAAUGAAUUCUCAAGAAUCCUAUAAAAUCACAUAUCUUUUUUUCCUGACUGAUCAGAGACUUCCAAUUUCCUAAUAUGUGAACUAUUUUUAUUGCUAUAGAAUUGACGAACUAAAUUGAUGUUUAAAAUAUAAUCAUCUUGUCUUGUAUUUGUUUGUGAAGUCUAGAGUUGGGAAGAAGUAGAUGUUCUCACUUCUCAAACAGGAAAUUUGAGUCAAUACAGACAAUUCAAUGAAAAACCAGAAGAGAAUUGGCACUUCUAUCCCUAGACAGAAAAUACUAUUUUCCCUGGACAUUUUCAUUAUCAAAACAAAACAAAGCAACAACAACAAAAAGCAAG